AUCAGCUGCAACAGGUGGCCUUAUCGCUAAUACAGCGAUCUCUUCCAGGCAACCUUUGGGCAGAGGACUAAAUAAGAAGUGUGGGAUGGGGCGCAAAAAUGUUAUGUAACAUACACAUGAACAUGUUAUAGUCACAAACGUAAAUGUACACCAAAUACAUUUACUUACAUAUACAUAAUACUUACUUACAUAUACAUACAUUCAGAUAUAUACAUAUACAUAUAUACAUACAUACACAAAUACAUAUAUAUCAAUAAUAGUAAAAA
rnacentral:misc_RNA from 1 species